UAAGGUGGUUUUAAUUGAGGACGGUAGAUGUGUCCUGAUGGUGAAGCAACAGUGCUAGGAGGUGGUUAGCAGCCCAGGCUUUCCUAAAUUUCCUAAAUUCACUUUACCGCAUUAGUCUCAUGUCUCUGUCAGUUUGCAGAACAUAAUGAGUAUGUGUAAUAGUUAAGACCAGGCAGUGUCCAUUCUCACCUGUUGAAUUCUGCUUUAUACUGCCAGUGAUUCCCGGAAGCAGUGUUUAUUUGGAGUAUGUUUGCAAACCACAAAAUGGCUAAUGGAAAGAAAAGGGAAUUUCCUCAAUGUCAGGGAGGCAUAGGUUUUAGAGGAAAUCUAACUUGGGAACCAUAGUGGAUGCAGAAGAAUGGAGCAUGCAGGGGUCUUUGAACUGCUGCUUGGUCAGGAUUACUAGCAAGGUAAGCUCUGACCUGUGCUUGGUUUCUUUCCUCUUCUACCAAACAUGCAGGUUCUGUAGAAGAAAUAGCAGACAGAAUUAUCUUGAGUCACCUGCCCUUACUCUAACAGUCUUGUAAGAAAAACUAAUGCCUCAGAAAGGAAAUUGAAUGUGGUAUGGUUAUUCAGAAUGUUGUCUCAGCCCUUCAAGAGUUCAAAGCAGUGGGCAGUGGUAGCACACAUCUUUAAUACAGCACUCUGGAAGCAGAGGCAGGUGAAUCUCUGUGAGUUCAAGGCCAGCCUGGUUCAGUUCCAGGACAGCCAGGGCUGUUAGACAGAGAAACCCUGGAGAGAGAGAGAGAGAGUGCCUUUAAUUCAAGACCAGCCUGGACUACAGAGUGGUACCUUGUCUCAAAGAACUAAAAACUGGAUGGGUAGAGGUUAGUAUUAUUAGGAAGGGGAAAUUUAUACCAGGCAGACAAAAGAUAAGUAUAAUAAUUGCUAUAAUUUACAGAAAUGAUUGUGUGGUGGAAAGAACACAGUAAGCAGGCAUGGUUCUGUGCACAUCUGUGAUACUUAGCCCUGGGGACAUGGAUGCAAGGGGAUCAGAAGUUCAAGGUCAUCUUCAGCCUACAACUGGAUACAGUUGAAUCCAGCCUGUAUAAGACACUGUACUGGGAGGUAGUUGAGCACAUCUUUAAUCCCAGCACUUGGGAGGAGGAGCAGGCAUAUUUUGAGUUUGAUUUCCAGGCCAGCCUGGUCUUAUAGGGCCACCUGAAUGCGGAGAUCAAAGGCAACCUGGUAUUUGUAUGAUUAAGACCCUGUGUUAAUCAGCUCCACAUGUAAAAAAGAAACUAAAAUUCAUGACAACCCAUUCAGUGUUACACAUAAUAAAUAUUACUAUUCUUUUCCUUAGAAACCCUUUAAUUAUACUUUAACUCUGAUUGGCAGAGUUGAGGGCUUUUAGCUUUCCUGUUCCUUGAAGUCAUUGAGAUGAUAGCUACCAUAUUUUUCCCUUUGUUAGAGUUGUAUUGAGAAGAAAGGUUCUAGCUAACUAGGUCAAAGGAGGGUGUGGGUCUGUGUGUAUCCUUGGGAGUAAAGUUUGGCUUCUUGGAGCUGCUUCUUCCAAACCCUGUGUGUUCAUGUGUCCGUGUGUCCGUCCUUGGGAGUUGUUUGGCUUCUUGGAGCUGCUUCUUCCAAACCCUGCCACAGUGCCAGUACUUUCUGAGAACUGGAGGCUAAGAAGGGCGAUGUAUGGAGUGCUGUGUUGUUCUGGACACCCUGAAGACAUUGGAAGUUUGAAGAUUGUGACUGGCCAGGAAAUUCAGAUGAGGAAUCCCUAAUUCAAAGAAUUUAGGGACUUCACUGCAGUUAAGCAUACUUGCUACUCUCGGAAAGGACCUGGUUCUGAUUCCAUGCAUCAACAAGGGCAGCCACCUGAGACUCCACUUCCUAGGGAUCUGAAUCCCUGUUGACCAUCAUGGGCACCAGAAACACAAGCAGUGCAACCAAGUCAUAAAACAUUUCAAGACUUUACUCUCUAGGGUCAUCUUGUCUUUAUAGGCACCAGGUAUGUACAUGUUUGUAUGUAGGCAAAACACUCACGCACUAAAAUCUUUAAAAAAAAAAUAACUUGUGCUGGGCAGUGAUGGCGCCUGUCUUUAAUCCCAGCAAUUGAGAAGCAGAGGCAGGUGGAUCUCUACAGAGUGAGUUCCAGGACAGCCAUGGCUGUUACACAAGAGAAACCUUGCCUUGAAAAACCAAAAAAAAAAAAAAAUUAAAAAAAUGUAAUAUGAGCCAUGCUGUAUUGGUAUAUGGCUUUAACCCCAGCACUUGGGAGGCAGAGGCAGGCAGAUCUUGAGUUCAAGACCGUCUUUGUCUAGAGAAUGAGUUCAAGGACAGGGAGGGCUACACAGAGAAACCCUGUCUCAGAAAAACAACAAAAUAUAUGUGUAUGUGUCUUUUUACCUUUCACAAUAGGUACUAAAGUAGUAGUUGGUUACUAUUAGCUGGUGUGUUAUUUAGUGUCACAAUAUGACAGACCUAUUAGAUUCUAGGUAGGUAAUUAUAAAGCAAGUCUUGUGAACUACACUAUGUUCUGCUAAAGUAAGGAACCUGCUCUGAUUGCCUUGUAUUGAACUGCCUCUAGAAAUUCAAAGGCUAAACUCUUAACAUGCCCAUUUACUGUUUAUAUACAUGAUUUGUAUGGAGCUUACAGGGACUUUUGGCAAUGACAAAUAAUACUAGAACACACCUUUCCUUGUCUAGGAGUAGAGCAAUUAUCCAAAGAGUCAGAGUUUAUUUAGUUUUGCACUCUGUCCCUCAAUUGCUACCCACUGUUCUAGGUAAGAAUGAAUUUAGGGAGUGAGUUCCAGAACAGCCAGGGCUCCACAGAGAAACACUGGGGUGAGGGGAUUGCAAAGAAAUGACUGCUGUGUAAGUAACAGGAUUAUCCCUUUUACAUCAGAUACAACAUUCUAUCACCUCUGUUUGCAAUGGUCUUUCCAAUGAAGCAGAUAACAUCCCUUUAAUAACUUAGGUGUGUGAAUGCAUGCGUGUGGAGGCCUUAGGACAACUUUGUAGAGUUGGUUCUCGCUUCCACCUUUAAGUGGGUGGGUUCAUGGGAUUCAAUUCAAUUCACCAGACUUGCACUACAAACACCUUUACCCAUUGAGCUAUCUCUCUGGCUUCAUAAUUUUUUAUACAAAAUGAAACAUCAACCUCAAAAGUACCAGUAACAUGGCCAAAGUCACACAGCUGUUAUGUAGCACAGAUGAGAUUUUCAGGCAGUAUGUAUGAUUUUAGCAUCCGAUCAUUCUUAAGUAUAUACUGCAUUUAGAAGGACCUUUUCCUGCCAGCUAAAGCCAUUUUGGAGAACCCAUCCUCAUUCAUUUUCCUGGAAGGAGUCUUCUGCCAGUACAUUAUCACGGCAUGUGAGCCUUGAUGAAGUAUGUGAGCUUUUACGAUUGCUGUGCUGAAUCACAGGUCUUCAUCUUUUUAUCAUCCCUGCCUUCAAGAAGCUGAUCUUACUGGAGAGGCUGUCAGAGGACCCUGAAUACCAGGAGCUACCUGCUGUAUAGAGGCUGGCCUGGGGCAUUUGCUGCAAUGCAACAUAGACACCUGAGAGAGGAGAUCAACAAUUCUGUUUCACCCUCCUACCUCUUGAUCUUGAUCCUGAACGCCAGCCAGGAUCUUAGGAGUCUUAAGGCCCAGACUCAGGGCUUCCAGAGACUCAUUGCUAACAAUUCCACCUACUCAAACCAUUUUAGUAGGAGGGUCUGCGGGUUUAACUCGGUGGUUGAACAAUUCACUAGUGUAUAUGGAAGACCUGGGCUCAUUUUCCAUCACCUCAUAAACAAAACAUUUUUAAACGGCUUUAAAGACUUGAGAGGGAGUUGGGCAUGGUGGCACACAUUCUUAACUCCCAAAUUCAGGAGGCAGAGGCAGGCAGAUCCCUGAGUUCUAGGCCAGCCUCGUCUGCAGAACAAGUUCCAAGACAGCCAGGACUACACAGAGGGGGGCGGGGACAGGACUAAAUGCCUGACAUGGACAGAAUAUACUCAGCUCCUGUGCCACUUUCAGUAUCUAGUUUCCCCUUAGUCUCUAUAGAAUGUGCUGGAACACCCUACUACUGCUUGUUCUCACCCCCACCACACCUUUGUUGGAACCUUCAGCCUUCAAGCCCGUAGACAUUUCUAGAGGACUCCGAGGAAAGAUAGUCCCCUUGUCUGCUAAGGAAAGUCAAGAAUCAUUACUUUAGUCAUGUUGUUACAAGUUCUGAGUCUGUUCUCAUCUUUGCUGUUAGCAUUUGUCUGAAAAGUUCUUGAAGGAUGAGGCUGUUCCUGCUUCAUCUGUGUAUCAUACAAGUAUCUAUCUGUCCCUGCAUGAGGAGUUCAAUAAAGGUUUGGUCAAGUGAUAAA